rnacentral:lncRNA from 1 species
ACGUACACAACACAAGCUCAUUUUAAGAAUCAUUCAUUACUUUCAUCUUUGUAAGCCAUUAUGCCAUUUUUCGGGUUCGGAAAAAAGCCAACGCCGCUCACGAAUGCAGAAAAAAAGAAGCAGAAUGAAAUUUUGAAACAUACAGUAGAGAGACUGGAAGAAAGCAAGGCAUUGGAUGAAGAACAUCAGAAACUUGUGGACAGAAUGUUAAAGAUUCACGGGUAAAUCCAUAUAUAUUUUAAUUAAAUACAUAUCGUGUUUCAAUCUAUUUGAUGUUUUAAAUUCUUACUUAAGUGUUUCAAAAAAAAAAACUCUUACUGGAGUGUUAUGGAAUUAUUUCCUACGUAACUAUAUUUAUUUAUGUACCAAAUAAUUAACUAUAUUUAUUUUGUAAAUACUAACUAUUUAUUUCUGCCAUGUUAUUAAUUAACUUAUAUGCUAUAUCCGUUUGUGUAUAUCUACUAUAUCUAUUUAUAUUUAUUGAAUUAUUACUUCUAAUUAUAAAAUAUUUAUAACUAUUUAUAUUUUAUUCUAUUUAAAAAAUAUAAUAUAAUAUAAAAUUAUUUUAUGUUCCUCUCAAGUACAAGUAGUGGGCUUAUAAAAAAAAGGACUUAUUUUCGGUAUACCUUUGUGAAAUUAUAUAUUCUUUCGUAAAUUAUAUGGAGUUUUUAAUCAUUGACAUGUUUUAUGUGUCGCAAGAUGCAUACCCUAUGGUGGUGUCUAAGGUGAGGGCUCUAUCAAGUCCCUCACCGGUGAGGCAUUUCAAAAAUACUGUUGGAUUUAAUGGAUGGUUCAGAUUUCUUGAAAAUAAUAAUAAGAACAUGUACAUAUUUUCACACACAAUUUUGUCCUAGUUUCUUCCAUUGUCACACUGUUUUUUUUUUUCUUUUUCUUCUUUCUCUUUUGCCAAAAUUUCCUCCAUUUUCAUUACACCGUAACCUUUCUCCUUUCCUAUUACACUUCUAGAAACUUCCAUUUUCAUUACUCGUCCAACUUUUGUCAAUGGAACUUCAAGAACAAACAUGCGUGUAACUACCAUAAAGUUCUAGUCAUAACAGCAACACAAGGCUAAAGACCUCAAUUUCGAUUGUUCUUACUAUGACAACAUUGUUGUUAUUGUUGUCCUCUUUGAUCAAAAAGCCCCAUUACAAAUUUUGCUAUAAAUUAGGAAGACCCAUCAAACUCUUUUUAAUUUGUGGUGACACAAAAAAAGAAUUUAAUGUGUAGAGAUAAAUAAUGAAGAAGAUGGAAAUGGUAGAGAGUGAGAAAUUAGAGUAGCAGAGAAGAGAAGAUGAAAAUNNNNNNNNNNNNNNNNNNNNNNNNNNNNNNNNNNNNNNNNNNNNNNNNNNNNNNNNNNNNNNNNNNNNNNNNNNNNNNCAAAGAUCGUGUGUGAGAAGAGAUAAGUGUUCUCAAUUUUAUUUUUAAUAAAUCUAAACCAUCCAUUAAAUCCAACGGUAUUUUUUAAAAGCCUCACCGGUGAGAGACUUGAUAGAGCCCUCACCUUAGACGCCACCAAUUUCUAUGGGUCUAAUUAUCUUUUUUUUUUUCUUUCUUUCUUAUUCUUCUGUAUUUAUAUAUAGAACGAAGAAGAAGGUUGGAAGAGAAAUCCAUAAGGUGGGAAAGUGAAGACUGAGUACUUAUGAAAAUAAUUGGGCUAUUGACCAAGGAAGCAACAUAAUGGCAAAUAUUGUUAAUGCCACCUUAUUUUUAUUUCUCUUUUUUUGUCUGAUUUUGUAUGUUGUUGUCUUGGCUACUCUAGAAGAGGUCAAUGUAUUUUAUCUAGCUCCAAAUAUAUUUUGUAUCUUUUUUAUUAUAAUUAUCAAUAAGAGGAUUUUUCAUUUUUUUAAUUAACAUAAUGAUAGCUCAUGUUAUUAA